AGUGGGGAAUAUUGGACAAUGGGCGGAAGCCUGAUCCAGCAAUGCCGCGUGAGUGAUGAAGGCCUUAGGGUUGUAAAGCUCUUUCGCACGUGACGAUGAUGACGGUAACGUGAGAAGAAGCCCCGGCUAACUUCGUGCCAGCAGCCGCGGUAAUACGAAGGGGGCUAGCGUUGUUCGGAAUUACUGGGCGUAAAGGGCGCGUAGGCGGCCCGAUCAGUCAGAAGUGAAAGCCCCGGGCUCAACCUGGGAACUGCUUUCGAUACUGUCGGGCUUGAGUUUCGGAGAGGAUGGUGGAAUUCCCAGUGUAGAGGUGAAAUUCGUAGAUAUUGGGAAGAGCGCCGGUGGCGAAGGCGGCCAUCUGGACGAAUACUGACGCUGAGGCGCGAAAGCGUGGGGAGCAAACGGGAUUAGAUACCCUGGUAGUCCACGCCGUAAACGAUGAAUGCUAGACGCUGGGAUGCUUGCAUUUCGGUGUCGCCGCUAACGCAUUAAGCAUUCC
rnacentral:rRNA from 1 species